rnacentral:rRNA from 1 species
UACAGAGGUGGCAAGCGUUGUUCGGAAUUACUGGGCGUAAAGGGCGCGUAGGCGGUCUUGUAAGUUCUGUGUGAAAUCCCUCGGCUCAACUGAGGAACUGCACGGAAAACUGCGAGGCUUGAGUUCGGGAGAGGGAAGCGGAAUUCCGGGUGUAGCGGUGAAAUGCGUAGAUAUCCGGAGGAACACCGGUGGCGAAGGCGGCUUCCUGGACCGACACUGACGCUGAGGCGCGAAAGCUAGGGGAGCAAACGGG